rnacentral:rRNA from 1 species
UCCUGGCUUAGGACGAACGCUGGCGGCGUGCUUAACACAUGCAAGUCGAGCGAUGAAGUUCCUUCGGGGACGGAUUAGCGGCGGACGGGUGAGUAACACGUGGGUAACCUGCCUCAUAGAGGGGAAUAGCCUUCCGAAAGGAAGAUUAAUACCGCAUAAGAUUGUAGUUUCGCAUGAAACAGCAAUUAAAGGAGUAAUUCGCUAUGAGAUGGACCCGCGUCGCAUUAGCUAGUUGGUGAGGUAACGGCUCACCAAGGCGACGAUGCGUAGCCGACCUGAGAGGGUGAUCGGCCACAUUGGGACUGAGACACGGCCCAGACUCCUACGGGAGGCAGCAGUGGGGAAUAUUGCACAAUGGGGGGAACCCUGAUGCAGCAAACCGCCGCGUGAGUGAUGACGGUCUUCGGAUUGUAAAGCUCUGUCUUCAGGGACGAUAAUGACGGUACCUGAGGAGGAAGCCACGGCUAACUACGUGCCAGCAGCCGC